rnacentral:snoRNA from 1 species
CUAUGAUUAUUUUCACUGUUCUGAUUUUAUAAUAAGGACAGAGUAAACAUUCUCUAAGUCCCCCAACUUAGUUCUUUCACUAGGUCUGGUUUUAUAAAUGCUGUUGAUAAAC